UAGUCCACGCCGUAAACGAUGAGUACUAAGUGUUGGGGGUCAAACCUCAGUGCUGCAGUUAACGCAAUAAGUACUCCGCCUGAGUAGUACGUUCGCAAGAAUGAAACUCAAAGGAAUUGACGGGGGCCCGCACAAGCGGUGGAGCAUGUGGUUUAAUUCGAAGCAACGCGAAGAACCUUACCAGGUCUUGACAUACCAAUAAAGGCCUCAGAGAUGAGGAGAUAGAUAUAAUGGAUAC
rnacentral:rRNA from 1 species